GAGGAGGUGUAGGGUGUUAGGGAGGGAUGCUGGGGAGGGUAUGGGUCAGACAGGAGGAGGUGUAGGGUGUUAGCGAGGGAUGCUGGGGAGGGUAUGGGUCAGACAGGAGGAGGUGUAGGGUGUUAGGGAGGGAUGCACAUCGGGUGCAGAAACUGCAAACAGUGAGUUUUGUGUGGGAGGGGCAUGUCACAGAGACAGAGGGUGAGAAAUAUGGUGUGGGUGAUGGAGAUGGUGUGGAGACGGGGAGAGAUGAUGAGACAGAGAAGUGGGUGUUAGGAGGGCAAGGGCACAAAUGAGAAGGGUGGUGUAGCAGACAGUGAUGGAGGGUUGUAGAAGGUGGGUGGGGAGUGGUGUAGGGGAGAGAGGGUCUCAGAGACAGGGAGAGAGUGGGGUAACAGAGACAUUGCAGAUGUCGGGUAUAGUCACCGAGAGGCGGAGGGGUAAAGGAAAGGGAUAUAGGGGAGAGAGGGUGUGACAAAGGUGUGUAGGUGAUGGAGGAGAUGAAGGAGACAGGAGGGAUGUUGGUGAGAGGACGAUGGAGAAAUGUCAGAGGAGUGUAGAGGGCUGUAGGAGGUGAGGGGAGGUAUAUAGUCAAUGGAGGGGGUCAAUGGUGUCGAGGAGGGCAGGAGUAACAGAGAGAGGGUGUGGCAGAGAAAAGGGAGUAUGUCUGAGACGGGACGGGGUGUAGAGGAGGGUGGGGGUCACAGAGAAGGGGUGGUGUGCAGGGGAGGAAGUUUGGUGUGGUGACAGAGAGGUGUAGCAGUGUUUGGGGCUCACAGAGACAGGGUGGGAGGGGAUUUACAGAGACGGGCAGAGGGAGGAAUGGAGUGAAAGAGAUGGGAGGAUGACGGUGAGGUGCAGUGCAGGGGUGUAGGGCAUAAACAGGGUUACAAAUAUGGGAGGGGAGUAAGGAAGACAAUGAGGGUGUAGGGGAGGGAGGGAGUCACGGAAACAUGGACUAGUGUAGGGCAGGGUAGGGCUGUGGAGACAAGGAGGUGGGUAGGGGCAAGGGAAGAGGUGACACAGAGAUGGAGAUGGGUGUAGGACGUGGGGAAAAUUGAGGGGAGGAGGGUUCUCAAUGGGUAUAGCGGGGGUUGGUGGGCUCACACAGACCGGGACAGUGUGUUGAUAUGGUGCAGAUCACAGCUCAGGGAGGGAGUACGAAAGGAAGAGGCUGAGAGUGGGGGGGGGGGGGGGUGGCGUGAAGCAGUGACUGUCAAUAACGGAGCAGUGCACCAGACAGACACAGGGAGGGUGAGAAAUAUGGUGUGGGUCAUGGAGAUGGGGAGGUGACGAGGAGGGAAGAUGUGACAGAGAAGAGGGUGUUUGGAGUGGAAGGGCAUGAAUGAGAAGGGGGGAUGUAGCAAAUGGAGAGUGAUGGAAGGAUGUAGCAGGAAAGUGGGGAGGGGUGUAGGGGAGAGAGGACUUCUCACAGAACAGGAGAGGUAUGGGGAGAGAGGGGGUCAGAGACAGGGAGGGGUGUAGGGGAGACAGGGAGGGGUGGAGGGGAGAGAGGGGGUCUCAGAGACAAGGAGAGGUGUGUGAGGGAGACAGCGGAUAACAGAAGUAGGGUCCGGAUAGUGUCACAGAGACGGGGAGGGAAAGGGAUGUAGGGGAGAGAGGGUGUGACAAAGAGAGGGGUGUAGGGGCCGAGGGGUUGAAGAAGUCAGGAGGGAUGUAGGUGAGAGGGUGGCAGAGGGAGGUAGCAGGAAGGCAAGAGGAGGAGUGUAGGAGGUGAAGGGAGAUGUGUAGUCAAUAGAGGGGGUCAGAGAUGAGGCGAGGUGUCAAGGGGGGCAGGAGGCACAGAGAGAGGGAGUGGCAGAGAGAAAUGAGGGUUUAAUUGAGAUAGGACGGUGUAGAGGAGGGUGGGGUCACAGAGAGGGGGUGGGGUGCAGGGGAGGGAGGGGUGCAGAGAUGGGAAGGGCUGUAGAAGGUGGAUUGGGUAAUGGAGACGAGGAGGGGCUUAGGACAGAAAGGGGGUGAUGGAUGUGGGGUGUGGUGUAAGGAAGCAAGACGGAGACAGCGAGGGUGUAGGGGAGGGAGGGAAGGAAUCACAGAGACAUGGAGUAGUGUAGGGAAGGUAGGGGAUGGAGUAGAGGAGGUAGGACUAUGGAGUAGAGGAGGUAGGGGAUGAAUGAGAUGGGUAGGGAGUAGGGGAGAGGGUACAGAGAGAUGGAGACGUGUAGGCGGUGGAGGAAGUUGUACGGGAGGAAUAUUCACGAUGGGUAUAGCAGUGGGAUGGAGGUCUCACAGACACAGGGAGGGUGUCAUGGAUAUGGUUGGAAUCAAAGUUUAGUGGGCAGGGGUGGCUGGGAGGGAGCACGAGAAGUGGCUGAGAGACAGCGAGGGGUGUAGCCAAGAGAGUAGGGAGUAGGAAAGCAAGAGGCUGAGAGAGGGAGGGAUGAAGUGGGUGUCAAAUGGGAAGAGGUGUAGGGUGUGGGAGGGAAGAGUUCACGGGUGGGGUGGGGAAACAGGAGACGGUGGAAUUGUAGGGAAGGGUUGUAAUUGAGGGAGAUGUGUAGGGGGAGAGAGAGACUGAUGCAGAUGGGUGGGGUGUAGCAGAGGGAGACAGUGACAAAUAAUGAGAGGGAUGUAGCAGGAAGGGGGUAAUGGAGACCAGGAGGGAGGAGUGAAUGAGAUGGGGAGGGUUGUAGAAGGGGGUUCACAAUGGGUAUAGCAGUAGGGUAAAGGUCUCAUAGAGACGGAGGAUGUUACGAUAUAGUUGGGGUCACAGAGAGGCAGGGGUGAAGGGGAGGGAGGCGUGACAAAAGGGUGGGUCAGGUGUGAAAGGGCAUGAAUGAGAAGGGGAGGUGUAGCAGAGUGUCAGAUGAAUGUAGGAGGGGUGGGGAAGGGUGUAGGUGACAAGGAGAGAUGUGUAGUCAAGAGAGGGAGGGAUGUGGGGAGAGGGGGGCAGUCACAAGACAGGGAAGGUGCACAGAGACUGAGAGAGAUGUGUUGGAAGGAGGACUGGCAUUAACAUGAUGGGGAGGGGUGUACAGGAGGGUGGGCAAGCCAGAGACAGGGAGGGUGUGAUGGAAAUCGGGAAGGUGUAGAGGAGGGAGAAAGGUACAAACACAGGAGGGGUGUAGAGAAGUGAGAUGGUGAUGGGAGGGGUGGGCCACAGAGACAGGAAAGGGAUGAUGGAGAUAGUGAGGGUAUGGGGAGGGAUACAAUAGACAGUAGGUGUAGGAGUAGGCCAUUUGGCCCUUCUAGCCAGCACUGCCACUCACUGUGAUCAUGGCUGACCAUACACAAUCAGUACCCCGUUCCUGCCCUCUCCCCAUAUCCCUUGACCCCGCUAUCUAUGAGAGCUCAUCUAGCUCUCUCUUGAAUGCAUCGAGAGACUUGGCCUCCACUGCCUUCUGGGGCAGAGCAUUCCACAUAUCCACCACUCUCUGGGUGAGAAAGUUUUUCCGCAUUUUUCCGAGGAGGUCAUAUGGACAUGGAGUGGGUUCGCAGAUGUUGGAGAGGUAGAGUGUCAUAGACGAGAGGUGUGGAGGGAAAAAAGUUUGCUGUGGUGACGGAGAGCUGCAGCGGAGGGGUUUACAUAGACAAGUAAGGGUGUAGGGAUGGGAGGGUGCCAGAGUGAUAGGGAGAGAAACGGGUAGUGGAGUGAGGAAGUGAACAAGACAGGUGGGGAGUAGGGAGGAGAUAGACAGGUGUGUAGAGGAGGGAAUGGAGUGAACAAGAGGAGGGGUGUGGGGAUAGUGUGUGUCACAGUGAUGGAGAGGUGCAGUGGGGUUGAGGGUUAGGGAGAUGGGUAGAGGUGUAAGGGAGGGGAUCAUGGAGAAGAGGAUGGGUGUAAUGAAGAGAUGGGGUGAACAAGAGAGAGGUGUUCGGGAUGAGAGUUGACCACCGAGAUAGGGAGGGUUGAGAGAAGGGGGUUCAUGAUUGGGAUGGAGCUCUCACAGAGACAGGAAGGCUGUUUAAAAUGUGGUGGGGGUCACAGUUUACAGGGCAGGGGAGGCAGGGAGUGGAAGUGGCUGAGAGGGGGAGGAUAACUGGAAGAGGUAUACAGGACUGAGGGGAAAGUAACAGGGAGGGAGAGUUUCUGAUGGGGAGCAGUGUAGUGUUGGGGGGGGGAAGGGGUCACAUAAACAGAGUGGGGAAACAAGUGACAGGAGGGAUGUAGACUGAGAGGGUGACAGAGAUGGAAUGGCUCCAGGGAAGGAUGGGAUCACAGACACAGGGUGGGGUGUGGGGAGGGAGGGGGUGAACGAAAUGGGUAAGGAAUAGGAGAGAGGGGACACAUGGAGAUGGGAGUGGGGGUCAUAGGGAAGAGUGUAGGAAGGGAGAGGGUUAUGGAGAUGGAGAGGAGGGUGCACAAUUGGGGUGGCAUUGCACUGGAGGUCUCACAAAGGUAGUGAGGGCAUUGUGGAUAUGGUGAGGAUCACAGCAUAGGUGGUAGGGGAGGGGACUAGGAAAGGAAAUGGCCAGGAGAGAGGAGAGUAGCUGUGGGGGGGGGGGGAAGCUGUGGGAAGUGAGAGGGAGAGGGAUGAAUUGGAAGUGGGAAGAUUACACAAGACUGAGGGGCAAGUAACUGGGAGGGAGAGGCUUUGAGUGUUGGGGAUGGAAGGGCUCAUGUAGACUAGGUGGGAAAACAGCAGACAGGGAGGAAUGUAGGGGAGGAAGGUGUGUAAGUGAGGGAGAGGGUCACGGGGAUGGUGAGAGGUGUAGGGGAAGGAGAAGGUCAUGGGACACUGAAGGGCAUAAUGGACGGAGAUGAGGAGUGUAGAGGAGGUAGGGGGUCACAGAAUCUGGACAGGGUGCAGAGGAGGGUGGAGGUGACAGAGAUGGGGAGGAGCAGAGAAGUGAGACAGUGACAGGAGGAAUAGAGAAGGCAGAGGGGAACAGAGAUGGGGAAUGGUGUAGGGCAUCGGGGAGGAAACGUUAUGGUAACAGAAAGGAGUGUAACAGUAGGAACAUCACAGACAGAGGGCUGCAGGACGGAAAGGCUUUACGGAGACAGACGGGUGUGAGUGGUGUCUCAGAGACAGUCAGAGGUAUGGGGUGAACUGGACGGAGUGUUCACAGAUGGGUGUCACGGAAACAGACAGGGAAGGUGUUCAUGGAGACGGGCUGGGGUGUAGGGGUGCCACAGUGAUAGGGAGGGGUGUGGGGGAUGAAAAGGGUUGUGGAGAUGGAUAAGGGCAUAGGGGAGGGAGGUGAACGAGACAGGGAGGACAGUGGACAGAGAUGGGCAGGAGAGCAAGUGAGGAGGGGUUCAUGAAGGAUAUAGCAGUGGGAUGGAAGUCUCAGGCAGAGGGGUGUAGUGUAAAUGGUGGGGUCACAGGGUAGUGGGUCGAAGGGGUGUAGCAGAGGCAGAAGGAAAGGAAGUGGCUGGGGGGGAGGGAGUAGUGACCCUCCACAUCUUCCUCCAAUCAACUCCCCAGCUCUUCACUUCACCCCUCCCUCUUCUGGUUUCACCAAUCACCUUUUGCUUCUCCCUCACAGGAGGGGGGGUAGGGGUAUGGAGAUGAGGAUUGGUGUGGGGGAGGGCGGGCAUGAACGAGUCGGGCAAGGUGGUGGAUGAAGCAGAGAUGUUUGGGUUGGGGAGGGUUUUACGAUGGAGGUAUGGACAGGGAGGGUGUUGUGGAUAUGCUGGGGAUCACAGCUUAAGGGGUAGUGGAGGCAGACAGGAGGAGGAAAGAAAGUGCCUGAGAGAGGUGGAGGGAUAUAGCAAUGGGAGGGGGGGGUCACAGAACAGUGGUGGCAUUGGGGAACAGGAAAAGUGGUUGAGAGUGGAUGUAGCAGGGGGGUCUCAAUAACUGGGAGUGCAUGAGCCUAGGGAUCAGAGACAAGGAGGGGUGUGAGGGAGGGAGCGGUUGACAAGAGACGAAGAUGGGAUGGGUGUAGGGAUCAAAGAUGGAAGAGAUGGUGGAGGGCAGUCAAGUGGUGUCAUGGAAAUGGGCAGCGGUGUGGGGAGGGAGAGGUUAGGGAGAUGGGUAGACAGGCAUGGGUGUAAGGGAGGGAGGGCAUCAUAGUGACAAAGUGUGGGGAAGAGAGAGAGAUGGGUAUAGGUGUAAAGGAGGGAGAUUACAGAAUUGAGGAGGGGGUGUAGGGAGACAAAACAGGGAGGUGUUUUGGUUGGGAGUUGGAAAGGAAGGGGUACAGUAGUGGGUUGGAGGACUCACAAAGACAGGAAGGUGAUGUGGAUAUGGUGGGAGUUGCAGUUUAGGGUGAGAGAGAAGGGAGGGGUGUAUGGGAGGGAGAGGAUGACGGAGAUUGGGUGGGGUGUAGAGGAGACAGGGGGGAUGGAGAAGGGAGUAAGUGUAGGGGAGAGGGAUAUGUACAUGGAAGGGUUGUAGGAAAGAGAGUGACAGGUGUUGAGGAGGGAGUGGGUGACGGAGACAAGAGGGCUGAUGGAGGGUGGGGUGUCAGGGAGGGAAGGUGCAGUGGAAGGAGAGGGUUGUCAGAGACGGAGAGGUAUGGGGAAAAAUGGGCUGAACAAGAUGGGGAGGGGUCACAGAGGUGGAGGGUGUAGGAGAGGGAGGGUAAGAUGGAGACAGGCAGAAGUUGGGGAAGGUGCAAGGGAGGGAAAGGGUUAGAGAGAUGGAUAGGGGUAUAGAGGGAGGGAGGGAUUAAUGGAGACUGGGAGGAGUGCAAGGCAGGGAGGGGAUCACAGAAACGGGGAGGGUGAAUGUAUACGGGUAUGGGGAGGGUAAGAGUCACUAAGACAUGGGAGUGGUGUAGGAGUGGGAGCAGGGCAUGGAGACAGGAAGGGGUGCAGUGCAAGGUGGGGGUCACGGAGAUGGGGAGAGGGAGACAGAGACAGAUGGGAGGGGUGUAGGGGAGAGGAUGGUGAUGGAUACAGGGAGGGAGGGGAAUCAGAUUCGGUCAGACAGGGAGAGGUUUACAGCAACAGGGAGAGUACCAAGAGCCAAACAAGCGACUAUUCUUUAUACUUUUAUUGAAAGAGCAACAUACAGCAAGUCCAUCACCCAGCAGGUCCUUCUUCAAUGCCCUCUGCAUCAGUCCCUCACCCCUCCCACACCCACCACCCACCCUCCAGAAUCUCCUAAAAUCCACCUGUCUUGUGUCCCAAGCCCAUUCAUUCCACCAUCUUUGAGAGACACCGAUCAGUGUACAGAUCUCCCCAAGAAAGGGACUGAGAGACACUAGUCAGUAUACAGAUCUCUCCCAGAGAGAGAGAGAGAGAGACAGAGACACCGGUCAGUGUACAGAUCUC